rnacentral:lncRNA from 1 species
AAUCAACCUUCCCUGCAACCUUUAGAAAGCAAUACACCAUUGGAAAAAGCUGACUUAAGAGCUCUUUAAAGUUCAUUGAAAAAAAUUUACUUAAUUACUUACUAAGAAGGACAACUCUAACUUGUCCUUAAAUUCCAUGUGUGAAGGCAUGAAUUAAAACAAACCAAAUGAUACAAGUUUAACAAAUUUAAUAACAUAUUUCAUAUAUAUACAAGGC